GGGUUGUGAGGUUAAGCGACUAAGCGUACACGGUGGAUGCCCUGGCAGUCAGAGGCGAUGAAGGACGUGCUAAUCUGCGAAAAGCGUCGGUAAGGUGAUAUGAACCGUUAUAGCCGGCGAUGUCCGAAUGGGGAAACCCAGUGUGAUUCGUCACACUAUCGUUAACUGAAUACAUAGGUUAACGAGGCGAACCGGGGGAACUGAAACAUCUAAGUACCCCGAGGAAAAGAAAUCAACCGAGAUUCCCCCAGUAGCGGCGAGCGAACGGGGAGCAGCCCAGAGUCUGAAUCAGCUUGUGUGUUAGUGG
rnacentral:rRNA from 1 species